CCUACGUGCCGCUGCAGUGGGGAAUAUUGGACAAUGGGCGAAAGCCUGAUCCAGCCAUGCCGCGUGUGUGAAGAAGGCCUUCGGGUUGUAAAGCACUUUCAGUGGGGAAGAAAGCCUUGGGGCUAAUACCCUCGAGGAAGGACAUCACCCACAGAAGAAGCACCGGCUAACUCCGUGCCAGCAGCCGCGGUAAUACGGAGGGUGCGAGCGUUAAUCGGAAUUACUGGGCGUAAAGCGCGCGUAGGCGGUCUGAUAAGCCGGUUGUGAAAGCCCCGGGCUCAACCUGGGAACGGCAUCCGGAACUGUCAGGCUAGAGUGCAGGAGAGGAAGGUAGAAUUCCCGGUGUAGCGGUGAAAUGCGUAGAGAUCGGGAGGAAUACCAGUGGCGAAGGCGGCCCUCUGGACUGACACUGACGCUGAGGUGCGAAAGCGUGGGUAGCAAACAGGAUUAGAUACCCUUGUAGUC
rnacentral:rRNA from 1 species